rnacentral:rRNA from 1 species
GACGAACGCUGGCGGCGUGCUUAACACAUGCCAGUCGAACGGAAAGGCCCUGCUUUUGUGGGGUGCUCGAGUGGCGAACGGGUGAGUAACACGUGAGUAACCUGCCCUUGACUUUGGUAUAACUUCAGGAAACUGGGGCUAAUACCGGAUAGGAGCUCCUGCUGCAUGGUGGGGGUUGGAAAGUUUCGGCGGUUGGGGAUGGACUCGCGGCUUAUCAGCUUGUUGGUGGGGUAGUGGCUUACCAAGGCUUUGACGGGUAGCCGGCCUGAGAGGGUGACCGGCCACAUUGGGACUGAGAUACGGCCCAGACUCCUACGGGAGGCAGCAGUGGGGAAUAUUGCACAAUGGGCGGAAGCCUGAUGCAGCAACGCCGCGUGCGGGAUGACGGCCUUCGGGUUGUAAACCGCUUUCGCCUGUGACGAAGCGUGAGUGACGGUAAUGGGUAAAGAAGCACCGGCUAACUACGUG